ensembl:lncRNA
CCCGCCCGAGCGCACGGCUCCCACCGCGAGCAGCGCCGAAUAAGUCACGGGGAAAAGCUGUGCGCGUGCGCUUGCGCGGCUCGGCCGCGGCGGCGCCCGUCGCCUCCGCCGUCCUCUUCCUCUUAAAGGGGACGCGCCCACCUCUCCCGCCCCGCCUGAGGCCGCCCUCCUCCAGCGCCCCGUUCCGCGGCACGCCGUCGCCCUUUGCCACUCCUUCCUGCUCCGAGAGCCGCUGCAGUCCCCGGGUUCGAGCGGGGCCCCACGAGGGCACGCCGCCACCCCGCGAGCGGGCCCCAAACGCCCGGCCCCUCGAUGCAGGCCGCGGGUCUCUGCCCGCGUUCCCCGAGAGCAGAGAGAGGAGAGCGCGGAGUUCGCCCGGCGAGGCGGCUCCCCGCCCCGUCCCCUCGCAGCCGCUCCGUGUGCUUUUCCAAAGGAACGUUAAUGCCCCCGGGCUGUCCGCUGCUGCCUCCGCGUUGGCUGCCAGGUCAGCGCAGUUUGCCGUGCGGGGAUUUUCUGCCUCGUCCCGGGAUUCGCGCCCUUCACCGUUCUCACGGUACCCCCGUUAGAGCGCCAGGAGCGUUAACGUCGCUGCCCGUCCUUUCCCUUCCAGCAGGUCCGCGCCCUGCACGGAUGCAGGAGGCGCUGCUGUGGGCUCAGUGGCAGGCGGGGCACAGUCAGCCGCCCACCUCGGCCGUGCAGGAAGGGGGAAGCGGGUGGGAAAGGUGAAAUGAGGAAGCAGGAGGGCUGGUAUGCCUGCAGUCCGAUAAGCAAAAGGAAGAAAUAUUUAAAAAAUGGCAAAGUCCUCCUCCACCCCCUGAGAAAACAACCCAAGAAAAGCUCAUGGUGCAGAAUGCAAUUGCAUACCGCUAUGUGAGCAGUGCCCAGCCGGCCCCCAGGCAGCAGUUUUCCCCUGGAAAAAUUCCCCCGCGGCCCUCUUGCUGAGCACGGCACUGCAUGAGCUGGGACGUCCCGGCUGUGUGCCCUCCCAGCAGGACAGGAGCUGUGCACGUGCAGCACGCUCACUGGGAAGGCAGCGUGAGGAACAGGAAAGACAUUGACUCUGUGUAAGCACUGCUGAGCUGCAGCUACAUCUGUAUGUUUUCAACACCGCUUUCAUCACAAAACCAAAGCACGGGACAGCAGGAAGUACUGUGAAAAAAAAUAACGCUCCCCAAAACCGGCACGGGCACGGUAGGGCUGCUGCUGGAGCAUCUGGAAGAUCUCCGUCCCAGCUGUCUGUGCUGCUGCUGGCCGAGUGACCGUCACACAUUAAGGGGUCCCACACGGGGGUAGCCCCAAUUGCAGAUGGAUCCCGUUGCGUGCUCCUGGGAAAGCCCUAAGGCAACACUCAAGACUGCAGUGCUGGUGAAGUCCUAGUCUGGCAGAGCCUGAGCACCAUGCUGUGUCUUGUCUCAAGGUCCAUGCAAUGCUGCACGACUUCUUCCCAACAUCUGAAGGAAUGCUGGAAGACACGGAGCUAUCCCUGUUUGCUCAUAGAGCUGGCCCAGCUUGCGCAGAGAUGGGCGCCGUGCUGAAAUGAGAGGAAGCGUCUCCCACAGUCUGUGCAGCUGCUGAGUGGGUUAAUGACCCUUUCAUACUGCUCUGUACCCCUCGACCAUAAACUGUCUGCCCCACAGUUCAUAUUUUGCCCUUCUUUUGUGCUGUGAAGCAGUGCUGGCCCACUUACGCUUCUCGAAAGUCAAUACAAUGGAUGUGCAGUGAUUAUGUGGAGUGUUUUUCAACGUCCCAAUGAAAUGAGUGCUUCUCUCAACUCUUUCACUUUCAUGGAAGCCCCGCAAAGACAUAAGUGAAUCUCUUGGCUUUGAUAUAAAGAGACAAGCUUUGUGGAGAGGAACUUUGCAAUCCUGCCAUCAGAGCACCAACAUUAGCGCCACCUUCUCGCUCUGUUGUGCAGCAAAGGAGCAGCCUUUUGCAAUGAGCACUUGGAGCAGCAGGCUCAAGCCCAGGGCUUCCUUCAGUGCCAGCAUGGCACACAUGAGCUGCUCAGACUCCAGCAGUGCACUGCUUUGGAAAAUGCAUGUCCUUCCACCAGGUCCUCUUGCAUUACCGGGCCCUUGAGGGCUUGCCAGCCUCCAACUCCCUCUGGCCUCAUGGGGAGAAUUUUCUUCAUUCCCCAUCUGUGUCUGAAGAUGAGCAAUCAUGCCUUCCACAUCUUUGCAGGGUGCUUGAGAAACGCAGCCAGCAGGAGAGCUCUGUGCUGGCAAGGCAGAGCAGCAAGCAGCGCCUGUGUGUGAGCAGGCUGCUGCUGCUGAGGGAGCUCUGCCCUCCACUUCCAAGCACCUUCUCUCUGCACAGAGGCAUGGGAUAACAUACUGUGUCAGUGGGUUUGAAUGAACCUGAUGAGGCGUGUGUAUGGAGGUAUGGCACUGCUAUGUUGUACCCCGCUGCCCCCCUAGCUGCUGCAAUAGAUAAAGAUGCCUGCUGAGCUCAGCCCUAAGCUCUUCACAAGCUGUUACCUGAACCCUGCUGUCCCUCCCUGGUGCUUGGUGAAAACAAGCCAUUCGUCAUCCAGGGCAGCCUUCUGUGAUUCAAACAAGUCUCCUGUGGGACUGAGAAUGGACUAGGCUCCCAUAACCCUGCACUGCAGCUGCAUACACUGUGUGCUUCUUUCUUUGCUGUCACAAAACCUGUAAGAGGGAGAAAUGUUAGAAAGAGAGUCUGAACUACCUGCAGAAGCAGUCCUCUCACAGCAGCCUUCGAGCUGAAUUCGACUAUUUGGAGGGGAACCUGUUUUGUCAGAGCUGCUAUCUCUGGCAGACACUCUCUCCUUUGAGAGAACUGAUGCAGACACGCAGAGAUGCCCUACCAUGUCUUGACUGUGAUGAAGAAAAGCAAUAUUUUGGGAAAUCUGACUUGGAUCGGGUGUAAGAGUUGUUGUCAGAGCCAGGCCAGAUGUUGGCCAUUCUUAUUUUCUAAAUACAGGUUUCUCUGAAUGCAAACAAACACUGCAAGCAUUUUGCUACACUAUAAAUGUAUGUGUUGUACAAGUGGUGGACGAGGGUUAUGUUGGUUUAAGACCUCAUUAUCACUUGGUGGGGAAUGAUUCACUUUUCUAUAAAGCUCGAGCAUUAAUUAAUUAAAAUAUGAUAUCAUCUCAAGAUUGUCUUAGUGUUCUGACCUGCAAAUCCGGAUGGGCAGAGCCCUUGCUUCUGCGUGACUGUUCCAGAUCUCUCUGUGUAAACUGUAGGUUUUGGCAAGAAAAAAACAUUCUGCCAAUGCCUUUUGAAGAAUUUAGGUUGACAUGAGAAAGUCUGCAGUUACACUGUGCCUGUUCAGAAAUAAACAGCCGCCCACUUUCUCACGGUUUGAAGUCAGGAGGCCCAUCCAUAUCCCACCUGAGAGCCCCAUCUGCGCAGUGCCUCAGCCCAGAGCCACGCGGUGCCAGCAGCCAGCAAGGCUCUGCAUCAGCAAACAGCUGAAAGAUUGCAGCAGAACCACAGCCCUGCCUGCCUUCACAGCCUGAGAGCAACCAGUUUCUCAGCCCUCGUGCCUGCAACAUGGUUAUGACUGCAUCAAAUCCCCACCACAACUGCGUAUGGUUCUGUAAACCACUUCCAAUAGGAGUCCUUUUUGUUGGUGUCUUCCCUGGGAAAAAAUAUGAACAGUCUCUUCUGAGCGAUUGCAGUAAAAAUGCACAGGUCAACCAAAGACAUACAGGGAGGAGGUGGUGUGAGCUCAGUUUAAGGAAUCCUGCAGCCUUCUGCUGAGUCCUGCAAGUGAGCAGAUGGAACUGGCCAUGCCAUAGGGCCUGAAGAGACUUCCUGGGCUGCAGGGCUGUUACAAUGGUAGUACAGCCUGGUGGGGAAUUUACCUCUUCCCAUCUCCACCCAACAGCCAACCUAGUUCACAUAAUACCUAC